rnacentral:lncRNA from 1 species
UUAAUUGAAACAAACAAACAAAAGAAAUAUGAUAGUAAACAAUUUUGAAACUAAAAUAAAAUGGUUUAUUAAACUAAUAUUAACACAUAAGAUGAAAUGAUAACAACGAAAUUCCAGAAUCUCAAACCCAAAUCAUCCGAACACAAACAAUAUCCGAACAAUUUUCCUUUUUUUUUUUUUUUAAAGAAACAAACAACCAAACCCUGAAAU